UCGGAAACAGAAAGUUUCUGAGUAUUUUACCAAUACAGAUAUCUAAAAGACAAAGGGUUUUAUAUUGUAUUUAUUUAGAUUUGAAAAACCGAAAAUGUGUUGUUGUUUUUUUUUUUUCCAUGAAGUUCUAGCUGUGAGAAUGGAAGAGUGCAGCGUUGACUUUGGAUAAUGCAUUGUGUAAUAAUUAUUUCCUUAAACCUAAUUUUGGAUUUUCAAAGAGCCACGACUACUUUCAAAACAGAAAAUCUUGGAAUCGUAGUAAGACCUUUGCCUUUUGCAACUAUUCAUGGUGGGAUGAGAUCCAGAGUUUUUCACACAGGUUGAACUACUCUAGAAGGAAGAUAACAAUCUAUCAACAACGUAUGUAAUGAACAAACACAAGCUUUUUUGAACAAGAGACACCUUAUGUACUAAAAUUAGUUUGAUUUGGUACCAUCGUGGGGAGGAUAAUAGAUAAUUUCCUGAAAAACAAAUGUUGGAAGCUUAAACAAGAAUGAUUUUUGCUUGGUUUUAUGUUAAAAAAGUUAUGUACUUAAAAGAAAAAAAUCCUGACUGAUACCCAAAAGUCUAAAUGUGAACUCAGAUCUCUGAAGAAACUGUCACAUGUGACGUGACAGGAAAUGUUUGUCAGCAUGUGAACAAGCGACGUGCAUCAAUGCUGAAGGUUUGCACACAGCAACAUGAAAGCUCAAUGUUGAGUCCAGUUCUCAUUUAUCCAGAUGACAAGACUCAAUUUCAGGAUAAAGAAACAACCGUUAUUUCCCUAUAUUUUAUUGUGACAUUAAAAAACAUUUACGUUUUUUUAACACUAAUGAAUUUGUAUUUGUCUGCAGAUUCACUGUGAUGUUGUCUCUUUUGAAGAUGAUGCAGAUGAUCUCUGGGACAGACAACCACACAGACCCACAUUUACACCAAGGGACAAUUAGAUUCAUCUACAAGUUUUUGGACUGAUGGAGGAAGCCGGAGAAAACCGAUGCAUCCAUGGAGAAGAACAUGCAAACUCCACACAGAAAUGACCCAUCUGGGAAUUGAACCAAAGCCCUGUUGCUAUGAGGCAAGUGUGUAUGUUGUGAGGUGAAACAUUUUUCUCUUUUUGUGGUUGUAUUUGCUGUAUUUGCUAUAAAGCUGGAACUGGCAGUGAGGAGCGAGAGGAAGAAGAGAAGGGGCAGCUGAGAGUGACGGGAGGAGGCGCCGACACCCAGUGGUUCGCUGUGGCUGGAGGGGUUGCAGCAGAGACAGAGUCCUCUCUGAGACAAGGGACUGCGACGUACACGCAGCGGCAGGGUGAGGAGCCCUGCCAGUGUGUGAGUACCCUUGUCCUGUACAGUGGCCCCCUCACUCUGCAACGAGCCAGUCUUAUCUGCUCCUCAAAACCUUGGAUUCUGGCAAGACCUUUAUGUUGCAGGUGGACGUUUGGAGGAGCUGCCUGCCACGCUUCUGGGGACUGGAUGACAGACGUGAAGGGAGGAUAAAGACUGGACUGUGGCUGCCUGCAAGAUCUGUCGUCUUUGCCUUUUUAUGGACACUUCUUUUAGUUAUCUUGAACAAGAUUUUAUUGGGUUCCCCCCUGACAGUUUUUAGCCUUUUAUCUUUUACUAUUUUUACUUUUAAGAUUUUUAUUUGUUCUGAUUUUAACUAGCUUGCUGUGAUUUGCAUGUUUUAUUAAAUCACAAGUAGAAAACAAUCCUUUCUUCCCUAGUUAUUGUGUGGCGCUCUUCCCCUGGUCCUGAAUCUUUAAUUUGUCUACAUUCACCUGCUAGGACCCCCCAUUUGACAACGGUGGGUGCCCGACAUGUACAUCACCGUGCAGCCAUGACAAGUUUGUUGUGGAAAGAAGACCAGUAGAAGUUUGGAGCAUAGUUAUUUGAACAAUAUUACAAGUUGCAUUGCUUCUAUAAAAAAUGUAUAAAUAAAAGUUUUUCUUCUCAAAUA